rnacentral:lncRNA from 1 species
AGGACACCUGCCCAGGCCUGAGGGCAUUAAAACACCCACUCCUCCCCCUUCCUUACUUCCUCUUUCUUUACUUCCUCCUUUCUCUUUAAAAACUCCUUGCUUAAGUUCAAUAAACAGACCUUGACAAUCCAUUGCUUGGUCUCACUCUUUCUCACCCAUUUAUUUUCAGGCUUAGUCCCCCACUCAACCCACGAAUUACCAGAACCCCACGAAUUACCAGAACCCCACGGGCCCGGGCAGAUGGCACGAAACAUAGGGGCCCAAGGUAUGGACUCUUCGCCAAACGGAGACCUCCCCAAGGAAACCCUCGGCAGUGAACGCUGACAAGGAAGUCCUCCUGCUCGCCCAUUGCAAUGGACGUUGGUCUGAGAACAUUCUCACCUCUCAUUAGCAACUGAUUCCCUGAUAAAAGAUGCUGUCUUUUUGGCUACUUGUGUAUUUCUCCCUUCGAUUGCCGUUGCUGCUGCAAGCCCCUAUCAGAUCUACAACUACACCUGGAUGAUCAUCAACCAAGCUGGUGAUGUUGCCAAUGCCUCGACAUACAUUGGAACUCAGCCCUCUUAUUCCCCUCUGAUAGUAGAUCUUUGUGCCUUGGCUAUGGGAGCCAACCCUCUCUGGGGAACUCCCUCCCAUUUUAUGCCACAAGAGAACAAGCACAAUCAUGUUUCAGAUUGAUACCAUCCUUGGAAAAGCAAUUUCAUUAUCAUCAACUGGAGGUACGAGAUCCUGAGCUGCCUGACCAUAAUGAAAACCACGACAAUCCUCCUAAAGGCCUAGUUUUUUUUGGGCCUUGAACAUCGAACCUCUUGAUUUCCCUGGCCUUGGAGAUGUCAAUGACAGGAUUAUCGUGAUGCCACAGGCCAGACGCCAAUCCAUCUCACCAGCUGUAGUGCUCCUCAAUGACAGGAUUAUCGUGAGGCCUCGACCCCAGAGGCCCACUCUGAGCACUCUUGAGCUGCUUGCCUUAUGAAAGGUCCCCUGAGUGCUGGGGGGCGGAUUCACCUCUCGUAGCCUAAGACAGAGGCUCUACCCCUCACAGUCAUAUAAAUGACAAUAUCAUAAACAUAGGGUACUGGCUGCGGAUGCCCAUCAUGUAGCCUAAGACAGACGCUCCAUUCUAUUAUACAUAGAAAGGGGAGAUGUCAGGAGCCAGCCUUGGUCAGAUAUAAAAGUCUCCUUUACAAGAGGCUUGGCGACCUCCAUGCUAAACCGACAAUUUAGUCAAGCACCCCACCCCUUAGGUUAUUGUUCCGAGAUAAACCACAGAAAUGUUCCAGGACACCUGCCCAGGCCUGAGGGCAUUAAAACACCCACUCCUCCCCCUUCCUUACUUCCUCUUUCUUUACUUCCUCCUUUCUCUUUAAAAACUCCUUGCUUAAGUUCAAUAAACAGACCUUGACAAUCCA